rnacentral:snRNA from 1 species
AUACUUCCCUGGCAGGAGAGACACCAUGAUCACGAAGGAGGUUUUCCCAGGGCGAGGCUUAUCCAUUGCACUCCGAUGUGCUGACCCCUGCGAUUUCCCCAAAUGUGGGAAACUCGACUGCAUUAUUUGUGGUAGUGGGGGACUACGUUUGAAUAUCCCCUAC